rnacentral:lncRNA from 1 species
AUGGGGCCCGGCCGGGCUCAGAUUGUCCCUUCGGACCUGGGGUGGGGGGGCUGCGCUUUAAGGCUUCUGGGCCAGCAGUCCCCCUGGGUCUCCCUCAGCCUUGGCUGGAAGACCUGCACACCCGGUGCGGGAGCCAAAGCAAGGAAAGGCCCAAGGUCGCCCAGCUCGGCCCAUGCCGGUGCUCCCGGCUUUGCAACGUUCGGAGCCACCAGCCUCCCCUCCAAGCGCAGCGUCCCGGCUUGGAACCCAGGACAACCACGGAGUUUUGAAGUUCUAUUUCUCUUUUUCCUGUCCUCCUUUUCUUUCCUUUGCUCCUCCCUCUCUUUCCCUCUUUCUGUCUGUGUAUCUCUCUGUCUCUCUCUCCCUCGUCCCCUUUCUGUGUCUCUCUCCGUGUUUUUGUGGCUCUGUUUCUGUCUCUGUCUCUUUCUCUCUGUCUUUUUCCCUCUUUCUGUCUGUGUAUCUCUCCGUUUCUGUUUCUCUAUCUCUUUGUCUUUCUCUUUCUCUGUCUGUCUUUAUUUCUGUCUCUCUGUGUGUAUCUCUAUCUUUUUCCCUCUUGAUGUCUGCGUAUCUCUGUUUCUGUUUCUCUGUCUCUUUGUCUCUCUCUUUCUCUGUCUCUGUCUUUAUUUCUGUCUCUGCGUGUAUCUCUACCUUUUCCCCUCUUUCUAUCUGCGUAUCUGUCUGUUUCUCUGUCUCUUUGUCUCUCUCUCUCUUUCUCUGUCUCUGUCUUUUUCGGUCUUUAUUUCUGUCUCUCCGUGUGUAUCUUUCCCUCUUCUGUCUGUGUACCUUUGUCUAUCUCUCCCUCUUUGUCUCUGUCUCUCUGUGUAUCUCCAUGAUCUCUAUCUUUGUCUCUUUCUGUCUCUCUCUCUUUAUCAUUCUCUUUCUUUCCCUGUCUGUCUCUCCUCUCUCUCUCUCUCUUUCUCCCUUUCUUUCUUCCCAGGACAGGCUAGAGAAUAUGGCUGGAGAAGGCUCGCUCAGAGCUUCAUUUUUGCCAGCGAAGUUUUACAAGGUGUGAGGAGGAGAGGGCUAUGGCGGAUGCCAGGGAUCCUUGAUACAUUUGUACCCUUCUCAAAGUGA